AGGUGAGUUGCCUUCAGGAGCUUUGACGAAACCUCAUUCAAGUAGAUACGUCUUUCUUCAUGCUUGUGCUUGUGGUCGGACACGACGCUUGCGAUCUGACCCUUUCAAUAGAUAUUUACCAAUAUACCUGAAGUGUCCACACUGCAGGUCUGUCAGGAAUAAAAAGGAAUUGCCUAAGGCUAAAUUUGCUGGAACAAUAUCACAGCUUCAAAGAUUUUUUCUGGUCACAACUCCCUUUCCUGUUGUUCUGGCAACUUGUCCGGUUAUACAAUUCAAGGAAUCUUGCUUACCCUCAUCAGUUCCAGACUGCAAACAGAAGUUGCAGUUCAGCCUUGGAUGUAAA